rnacentral:lncRNA from 1 species
UCCAGUGAUACUCCACUGAAAGAAACAAACGACGAAAUAAAUGAAAUAUUUACAAUUUUCCAAAAUCAACUAAUAACCUCUAUUUAUCUCAUUUACUCUAAUUCACCUCAAUUGUAUUCCAAUUAACUUCCAUUUUCCAUUGUAAUACAGUGUAUAUUGAACUCCCCUACAUCCCCCUCUCACCACCGACCACCAAUUUCAACAUUAGAGGCGCAUAAUUCCAAAAUCGAGUCCUUUUCUGCUUCCUCCCCCCUCCCCGCCGGCCUACGACUACCCUGCAGCCAGCAGCUGCUGGUGCUGCUGCUAUCAGCAGCAUUUGCUA